GGACUACACGGGUAUCUAAUCCUGUUUGCUACCCACGCUUUCGUGUCUCAGUGUCAGAAAUGGUCCAGAAAGCUGUCUACACCACGGGUGUUCCUCCUGAUAUCUACGCAUUUCACCGCUACACCAGGAAUUCCGCUUUCCUCUCCCAUCCUCAAGCAUUCCAGUUUUCGCCGCACCCUCCCAGUUAAGCCGGGAGAUUUCACGACAAACUUGGAACACCACCUACACACUCUUUACGCCCAGUAAUUCCGAACAACGCUUGCUGCCUACGUAUUACCGCGGCUGCUGGCAC
rnacentral:rRNA from 1 species